rnacentral:rRNA from 1 species
CAGUCGAACGAAGCACCUGAGAAUGAUUCUUCGGAUGAAGUCUCUUGUGACUGAGUGGCGGACGGGUGAGUAACGCGUGGGUAACCUGCCUCACACAGGGGGAUAACAGUUGGAAACGACCGCUAAUACCGCAUAACCCGCUGGUGCCGCAUGGCACUGACGGAAAAGAUUUUAUCGGUGUGAGAUGGAUCCGCGUCUGAUUAGCUAGUUGGCGGGGUAACGGCCCACCAAGGCAGCGAUCAGUAGCCGGCCUGAGAGGGUGGACGGCCACAUUGGGACUGAGACACGGCCCAAACUCCUACGGGAGGCAGCAGUGGGGAAUAUUGCACAAUGGGGGAAACCCUGAUGCAGCGACGCCGCGUGAGUGAAGAAGUAUCUCGGUACGUAAAGCUCUAUCAGCAGGGAAGAAAAUGACGGUACCUGACCAAGAAGCCCCGGCUAACUACGUGCCAGCAGCCGCGGUAAUACGUAGGGGGCAAGCGUUAUCCGGAUUUACUGGGUGUAAAGGGAGCGUAGACGGCAGCACAAGUCUGGAGUGAAAUCCCGGGGCUUAACCCCGGAACUGCUUUGGAAACUGUGCGGCUGGAGUGCAGGAGGGGUAAGCGGAAUUCCCGGUGUAGCGGUGAAAUGCGUAGAGAUCGGGAGGAACACCAGUGGCGAAGGCGGCCUACUGGGCUUUAACUGACGCUGAGGCACGAAAGCGUGGGUAGCAAACAGGAUUAGAUACCCUGGUAGUCCACGCUGUAAACGAUGAUUACUAGGUGUGGGUGGACUGACC